UUAUUUAUUCAUAAAUUUUUAUUAAAAUAUAUAUGUUAAAAAAGAAAAUUUUUUAAAAAAAUAUGUAAUUGCGUUAUCCAUUAGUAAUUAUAUUUAAAUAUAUUUUUUUUAGCAUUAUCCAGUGGUAGACGGUAGUAGAUUAUAUGAUAAGUGCUAGUGUGUGAUAAUUAUCAAGUAGUCAAGAUAUUUUCUUAUCUAAACUUUAAUGAUUAGUCAAAAAAAAAAAAAAACAGAUAAGAUAUAAGUAGGAUAUUUUGAAAAUCUAGUAAUGAAUUGUGUAUCCUUGUAUAACAUUUAAGAUUCAAUUAUAGAUAUUAAUCCAACUGAU
rnacentral:lncRNA from 1 species